CCCCCCUGAGGAUCACAUCUGGAGAGUUCUCAGUACUCUACCAGUCUUGAUUAUGGGAGGGAGAGUCAGGCAGAGGUCAUUCCAUUCCAAUCCUAGCUUGGGCAGUGGCUAAUCACUGGAAGGCAAUCUGCUACAAGU
rfam:Ornithorhynchus anatinus chromosome 3, whole genome shotgun sequence.